rnacentral:rRNA from 1 species
AAUGCAUCGGAACGUGCCCAGUCGUGGGGGAUAACGCAGCGAAAGCUGCGCUAAUACCGCAUACGAUCUAUGGAUGAAAGCGGGGGACCGUAAGGCCUCGCGCGAUUGGAGCGGCCGAUGUCAGAUUAGGUAGUUGGUGGGGUAAAGGCUCACCAAGCCAACGAUCUGUAGCUGGUCUGAGAGGACGACCAGCCACACUGGGACUGAGACACGGCCCAGACUCCUACGGGAGGCAGCAGUGGGGAAUUUUGGACAAUGGGCGCAAGCCUGAUCCAGCAAUGCCGCGUGCAGGAAGAAGGCCUUCGGGUUGUAAACUGCUUUUGUACGGAACGAAAAGGCUCUGGUUAAUACCUGGGGCACAUGACGGUACCGUAAGAAUAAGCACCGGCUAACUACGUGCCAGCAGCCGCGGUAAUACGUAGGGUGCAAGCGUUAAUCGGAAUUACUGGGCGUAAAGCGUGCGCAGGCGGUUUUGUAAGACAGGCGUGAAAUCCCCGGGCUUAACCUGGGAAUUGCGCUUGUGACUGCAGGGCUGGAGUGCGGCAGAGGGGGAUGGAAUUCCGCGUGUAGCAGUGAAAUGCGUAGAUAUGCGGAGG